rnacentral:rRNA from 1 species
GACGAACGCUGGCGGCGUGCUUAACACAUGCAAGUCGAACGCGCCUGUCCUCUGGGUUUCUGGGGGGUGGGUGAGUGGCGAACGGGUGAGUAACAUGUGAGUAACCUGCCCCCUUCUUCGGGAUAACGGUCUGAAAGGGCUGCUAAUACCGGGUAUUCACUGGUCUCCGCAUGGGGUCUGGUGGAAAGGUUUUUUUCUGGUGGGGGAUGGGCUCGCGGCCUAUCAGCUUGUUGGUGGGGUGAUGGCCCACCAAGGCUUUGACGGGUAGCCGGCCUGAGAGGGUGACCGGUCACAUUGGGACUGAGAUACGGCCCAGACUCCUACGGGAGGCAGCAGUGGGGAAUAUUGCACAAUGGGCGCAAGCCUGAUGCAGCGACGCCGCGUGAGGGAUGGAGGCCUUCGGGUUGUGAACCUCUUUCGCCCGUGGUCAAGCCGCGACGUGGGUCGUGGUGAGGGUAGUGGGUAAAGAAGCGCCGGCUAACUACGUG